GACGAACGCUGGCGGCGUGCUUAACACAUGCAAGUCGAACGGAAAGGCCCUGCUUGCAGGGUGCUCGAGUGGCGAACGGGUGAGUAACACGUGGGUGAUCUGCCCCUUACUUUGGGAUAAGCCUGGGAAACUGGGUCUAAUACUGGAUAGGACCAUGCUGUAGGUGGUGUGGUGGAAAGAUUAGUUUCGGUAGGGGAUGAGCUCUCGGCCUAUCAGCUUGUUGGUGGGGUAAUGGCCUACCAAGGCGUCGACGGGUAGCCGGCCUGAGAGGGUGGACGGCCACAUUGGGACUGAGAUACGGCCCAGACUCCUACGGGAGGCAGCAGUGGGGAAUAUUGCACAAUGGGCGCAAGCCUGAUGCAGCGACGCCGCGUGGGGGAUGACGGCCUUCGGGUUGUAAGCUCCUUUCAGCCAUGACGAAGCCCUUGUGGUGACGGUAGUGGUAGAAGAAGCACCGGCUAACUACGUG
rnacentral:rRNA from 1 species